AUAUGGAAAGCAAAAAUCCCUCUUAAGAUUCAGAUUUUUCUCUGGCAACUGUUCCAAGAUGCGGUUUUAACUCGAGAUGUCAUGAAAAGGCGGAAAUGGGCAGGAAAUCCUAAAUGCUCGUUCUGCAAUGAGGUGGAAACCUCACAACAUCUUUUCUUUACUUGUCCUGUGGCCCGGGUGGUCUGGAGGACAGUUGGCUGUGUGUUUGGCACAUCGUUGUGUCCAAAUAACCUUUGGCAGUACUUCUCCUGGUGUUAUAUUUUCCUACCUGAUGGGGCUAAAUUUUAUAGAUUUGGUUUGGCAGCUAUGUGCUGGGCGAUUUGGAUCAGUCGCAAUCAGGCUGCCUUUGAGCACAAAUCUCUUAAAAGUCCUUUUAAUGCGGUGUAUGCUGCUUGUGGCUUUUUGACAUACUGGGCAGGUUUGAUGGCUGGCGAGGAACGGGAGUCCAUGGAGCGUGGAGCCAAGAUGCUGAGGUCGAAUGCAUCGAUGAUGAUGAGGAUUUGUGCGCCUCCGUCAAUGAUGAACUGA
rnacentral:rRNA from 1 species